rnacentral:rRNA from 1 species
GAGUAACGCGUAAGAACUUACCCUAAAGUGGGGGACAACCUCGAAAUCGGGGCUAAUACCGCAUACGCUCCGCAAGGAGGAAAGCUACGGCGCUUUAGGAGGGGCUUGCGUCCGAUUAGCUAGUUGGUGAGGUAAUGGCCCACCAAGGCUUAGAUCGGUAGCUGGUCUGAGAGGAUGAUCAGCCACACUGGAAUUGAGAUACGGUCCAGACUCCUACGGGAGGCAGCAGCAGGGAAUAUUGCGCAAUGGGUGAAAGCCUGACGCAGCAACGCCGCGUGGGGGAUGACGGCUUUCGAGUUGUAAACCCCUUUUCUUGGGGAAGAUAAUGACGGUACCCAAGGAAUAAGCCUCGGCUAACUACGUGCCAGCAGCCGCGGUAAAACGUAGGAGGCGAGCGUUAUCCGGAUUUACUGGGUGUAAAGCGCGUGCAGGCGGUUCAGAAAGUUGGAUGUGAAAGCUCCUGGCUUAACCGGGAGAGGUCGUUCAAUACUUCUGGACUAGAGUGUGAGAGAGGGAGGUGGAAUUCCGUGUGUAGUGGUGAAAUGCGUAGAUAUACGGAGGAACACCUGUGGCGAAAGCGACCUCCUGGCUCACUUCUGACGCUCAGACGCGAAAGCUAGGGUAGCAAACGGGAUUAGAGACCCCGGUAGUCCUAGCCGUAAACGAUGUGGACUUGGCGUCGGUGGGGUAAAAUCCAUCGGUGUCGAAGCUAACGCGGUAAGUCCACCACCUGGGGACUACGGCCGCAAGGUUAAAACUCAAAGGAAUUGACGGGGGCCCGCACAAGCAGCGGAGCGUGUGGUUUAAUUCGAUGUUACACGAAGAACCUUACCAGGGUUUGACAUGCAAGUGGUAGGGAUCCGAAAGGUGACCGACCCUUCGGGGAGCUUGCACAGGUGCUGCAUGGCUGUCGUCAGCUCGUGUCGUGAGAUGUUCGGUUAAGUCCGCUAACGAGCGCAACCCUCGUCGUGUGUUACAUGUGUCACACGAGACCGCCGGUUUUAAGCCAGAGGAAGGUGGGGAUGACGUCAAGUCAGCAUGGCCUUUAUAUCCUGGGCUACACACACGCUACAAUGGCCAGUACAAUAGGUUGCGAAGCCGCGAGGCGGAGCCAAUCCAAAAAGCUGGUCUCAGUUCAGAUUGCAGGCU